rnacentral:rRNA from 1 species
GACGAACGCUGGCGGCAUGCCUAAUACAUGCAAGUCGAGCGAACGGAUGAAGUGCUUGCACUUCUGACGUUAGCGGCGAACGGGUGAGUAACACGUAAGGAAUCUACCUAUAAGCGGGGGAUAACAUUCGGAAACGGGUGCUAAUACCGCAUAAUAUCUUCUUCCGCAUGGAAGAAGAUUGAAAGACGGCUCUGCUGUCACUUAUAGAUGGCCUUGCGGUGCAUUAGUGAGUUGGUGGGGUAAUGGCCUACCAAGACGAUGAUGCAUAGCCGACCUGAGAGGGUGAUCGGCCACAUUGGGACUGAGACACGGCCCAAACUCCUACGGGAGGCAGCAGUAGGGAAUCUUCCGCAAUGGGCGAAAGCCUGACGGAGCAAUGCCGCGUGAGUGAAGAAGGCCUUCGGGUCGUAAAACUCUGUUAUAAGAGAAGAACAAAUUGUAGAGUAACUGCUACAGUCUUGACGGUAUCUUAUCAGAAAGCCACGGCUAACUACGUGCCAGCCGCCGCGGUAA